rnacentral:rRNA from 1 species
UACGUAGGGUGCAAGCGUUGUUCGGAAUAACUGGGCGUAAAGGGCGCGUAGGCGGGUUUGUAAGUUGUCUGUGAAAUUCCUGGGCUUAACCUGGGCGCGGCAGACAAUACUGCAGAUCUUGAGUGCUUGAGAGGAUGGCGGAAUUCCAGGUGUAGAAGUGAAAUUCGUAGAUAUCUGGAAGAACACCGGAGGCGAAGGCGGCUGUCUGGCAAGACACUGACGCUAAGGCGCGAAAGCGUGGGGAUCAAACAGG